rnacentral:rRNA from 1 species
GACAGAGGGUGCAAACGUUGCUCGGAAUUACUGGGCGUAAAGCGCGUGUAGGCGGACCGAUAAGUCAGGCGUGAAAUCCCCGAGCUCAACUCGGGAACUGCACCUGAAACUGCCGGUCUAGAGUGAUGGAGAGGGUAGCGGAAUUCCUGGUGUAGAAGUGAAAUUCGUAGAUAUCAGGAGGAACACCGGUGGCGAAGGCGACUACCUGGACAUUAACUGGCGCUGAGACGCGGAAAGCGUGGGGAGCAAACAGGG